CACGUCGCUGUCGAGCUGACGGAGCACGCCGCGUGAGUGAUGAAGGUCUUCGGAUCGUAAAACUCUGUUGUUAGGGAAGAACAAAUUUGUUAGUAACUGAACAAGUCUUGACGGUACCUAACCAGAAAGCCACGGCUAACUACGUGCCAGCAGCCGCGGUAAUACGUAGGUGGCAAGCGUUAUCCGGAAUUAUUGGGCGUAAAGCGCGCGUAGGCGGUUUCUUAAGUCUGAUGUGAAAGCCCACGGCUCAACCGUGGAGGGUCAUUGGAAACUGGGAAACUUGAGUGCAGAAGAGGAGAGUGGAAUUCCAUGUGUAGCGGUGAAAUGCGCAGAGAUAUGGAGGAACACCAGUGGCGAAGGCGGCUCUCUGGUCUGUAACUGACGCUGAUGUGCGAAAGCGUGGGGAUCAAACAGGAUUAGAUACCCGGGGGUAGUCAACCUGCUGCUCCCCGGAAGG
rnacentral:rRNA from 2 species